CCCGACACUUGCCCCGCCCCCAUCGCUCGCUCGGGCCCACGGCCCCCUGUGCCGCUCGCCCCGCCCACCGCGCGCCGAGCCCUGCGGGGCGCCCCGGGGGGGGAUCGUGGACCGGAACCGAGGCUGGAUGGCUGGUCUGCCCCUUUGUCCGGCUCCAGGCGGUUCCCGACACGCGGGCUGAGCGUGGAUCCGGGCAGGCACGUGUGACCGCCGCCUUCCCCUGCCUGGGCAAGCCGAACAGGGGAGAACCGGGAGCUGCGGGAAGCCAAGUCUCGAGGGGUGCGAGGGGCCUGGGCAGGGGCGAGGAAGAUGGCGAAGCCCAGCCUUGAAGCCUCGCUCGUUCCAGCCUUGAUGCUAAAAAACUCACCUUGCUUUCCCGGCUUGCAGAGAUCUGUACCUCACCUCUAUGCCGAGACGCAGCACUGAACUGACCCUCGGCUGUUGGGAGGCCGAGGUGAGCAGUCAGGGGUGCAGGCCCUCCCGCCCAGGCCUGCCUAUCUGCUUUGCGGGGUAAUGCAAAACAGCGGUCCCUCUGUCAUCCGGGGCUGGAAGGAGGCGCGCCACACUUUAGCACAAGCCACCAAGAGCCCAAGUCCAAUGUAAAGAGAAAAAUCUUGGCGUGGCAACUGUUGAGUCCAUUCCUGUUUGUUUUAACUAAAGGGAUGCAGCCUGCCCCGUGGAUACCCCCCACCCCAUAGCUCAAGGACCCACCCCCGGGGAAGCUGUCCUGGCAGUCACCUUCAGCACGCCACGCGCUGCGUUAGGUGUUUGGUGGCUGCUGGUCCUGUUUUCCAGCUGGGGAUACAGUCGCCAAAGCCUCUCGCUCCAUGUAGUUUGCUUUUAGUGGAAAAGGCAAAUGAAUCAUUGCAAGUUGAAGUAAAUAUAGGGAUAAAAGCAGUUCUGGAAUAGAAAAUAAGCGCUCCUCUAGAUAGAGCAGUUGGAGAAAAGGUCUUUGAGGAGGAGAUGGGAAAAUUGGAGUCAAGAGAAUCAAGGUAGCCUUAGGGGAAAGUUAGCAGAAGACACCUUGAGAGCUGUGGUACCAAGGCCCUGGGCCGAUUAAGCUCUGGCUGUGCAAGACCCAAAGGAAAAUCACUGUGGCUAACACAUCAGGCCUGGCAAACAGGCUCCAAUGAAGUGGGGAGGUGGGCUGGGGCCAGGGCAUGCAGGGCCUGUGGACUGUGUAGAGGAAUGGGCUCUCUUUGGGUUUUAACAGAAGAUUAACAGGGUCUGGUUUUCUGCUGUGAGAAUAAAAUUAGUGAGUGUCAGGCAAAACUGACAGCAGGGAGCCAAUUAAACCAUUGCCUCAGUCCAGGCCAAAGAUGACUGGUGGUUUGAACCAAAGUAGUAGCCAUGCUGAGUAGGAGAGGCAAGUUUGAACUUAACAGGACACAUUGAUAACUGUAGCAGGGACAGAGGAGGAGAAAGUAGUGAAAGCAGGGUAUCUUUCAAGUUUAUUCUGAGGAGAGGGUGAGCAGUGCCUCAUUUACUGGAUGAGGUGGCCCAGAGGAAAGGCACUAUCUCAGGGAAGAACAUCAAUUCAGUUUUGGCACAUUGAGUUUGAGAUGCCUAUUAGCCAUUCAAUGAACAGAACAGAGGGGGAGGUCUAGGAAGUAUGGGAGCCUUGGGUGGAGAUUGCUAGAUGGCACUAAUAAAAUUGUCAAUGCUAUCUGACCAUAUGGCUUCCCAGAAUAAAGGCAGCUUUCUCAGCCUUUCCUAGAGCUACAGAUGGUCAUGUGACUCCAAUAGGAAGUGGAGGUUUCCCUGUGUAAAUUCUAAAUUGGCGUUAAAGGGAAACACUGCUUCUUCAGCCAUUGCUUUUUCACUGAGAUAGAUGGAUACAUGGCUGAAGCUCUUGGAGCCAUUUGGAUUCUAGUGGAAGCCGUGUGAAGGUUUUAGUGGAACAAGUUAGAAUAAAUAGUGAGUUCCUAAUGUUUACAUCACCAAACUUACUCUGAUCCGCCUACCUCUCAACUUUGUACAUGAGAGAAAGAAAUUUUUGUCUUGUUUAAAUUUCUUUUCUUUUUUUUUUUUUUUUUGGUCCUGGGAAUCGAACUUGGGACCUUGCGCUUUUGAGGAAGGCGCCAGAACCACUGAGCUAAAUCCUGGCUAUAUUUCUAUUUUCUGAUGCUUGUUACCAUGUCUAAUUUUACCUUGUCAGAAUACACAAAAGUUUGCUAAACUAUGUGAGUAGCUGGAGCCAGUUUGCACAGUGAUAGGAAUGAUCCAGGAGAGAAGGAAGGAGCAGUGAUUCUGAUGAGCAGGUGGAAGGAGAAGGGAUCUGAGCACUUGUGAAGAUGGAAGGAUACCUCCCUUAUUACUAAGGAGAGGGGCAGGGAGGCUGAGAAGAUGUUUCCGUUGGAGAGAAGAUGAUUAUUCUUACCUGAUGAUUUCUGCUUAAUCCUGGAUGUGAACAAAGUCUUGAGUGUAGAACAAGGAGGAAGGAGAGGGUGAAGCCAACUUUGUCUCCUCAGGGAGACAUUUCCAUUCUGGAGCAGUUGGCCAUACUUCCCCAUCCCAGCCCCCUCACAGACCUCACUGGACAGCCAUGUCUGCCACUCCCAGCUGGCUGUCUGAUGAGACUCACCAUGCUUCAUAUUCUUUCAGCAACAUGGGGUGGCUUCUGAGAGCAUCAGGGAUUCUCCCUGCAGAACAGCCCUAUUUUAUUUUACUUUAUUAAAAAAUGAAAAGAAUUAGGAUAGGGCAGCCCCAACUCAUACAGUGUUUAUAUCGUAACCUGUGAUUUACUUUACAGGCUAUCCCCUGAUCUGUAAUUGCCAAGAAUGUGGAUGAAUUACAGUGCAGACUGCAAGCCUGAAGUAGGGAUUGUGGGAACAAGAAACAGUACGUGAGGGAGGAAAACAAGCCAAGAGUUGCUUUUUUUAUUUUUGUUUUUCUUUCCCCCAGACCCAAAACUACUAGAAACAAAAUUUUGAAUGGAACCAUUUGGUCUCUGAUUUCUGCUUCUGCUCUUGCCCCUCAUGGCCCUCACUCUUAGUAGCACCUGUGUAUGCCCAAGCAAGGGACAGACUCAGGGGCCUUGAAGGGAAGAGGGAUUUGAUGACCAGUUCUUCUAGCAUGUACAAGGCUGUGGGUUCUUUCCCAGCAUUGCAAACAAAUAAAUCAAAUGACAUAAUGUUUGUAAAACUUUUUUUUGUCUAGGGAUUGAACCCAGGGUUUCACACAAGCUAGACAAGUGCUCUACCACUGAGCUACAUCCCCAGCUCCCCUUUUAAUUUUAGUUUGAGAUAGCAUCUUGCUAAAUUGCCCAGGCUGUACUUGAACUUGCAGUCCUCCUGCCUUAGCCUCUCCAAUAGCUAGGAUUCCAGGUGUGUGCCAUCAUGCCUAGCUCAAGAUUGUAAAACCUUAGAAAUCACUGGGAGCCAGGCAUGGAGCUGGGUGUGAUGGCACAUAUCCAUAAUCCCAGUUCUCUGGGUGUAUAAAGCAGGAGGAUGGCAAGUUCAAGCCCAGCCUGGGCAAUGUAGAAACUCAACAAGACCCUACAUCAAAAUAAAAACGGCUGGGGAUGUAGUUCAGUGUGAAGAUUGGAUUCAGAGCUCUGUUGGUUGUAGCUCAGCACAAAGAGCCUGAGUUCAGUCCCCAGUACUGAAAACAAACACACAUUAGGUAAGCUGUAAAGAAAUCUGUUAUUUCUGUUACCUGGGAAUGAUGUCUAUUAGGGCCAGACUACCAAGACUCUUCACAAUAACCAGGACAUUUUGGUUGGAAACAGGAUUCUUAAUUUUGACACAAGUUCUUGCUAAGUUGCCUAGGCUGGGCUUGAAUUUGCAAUCCUCCUGCCUCAGCCUCCUGGGAAGCUAGGAUUAUUUGUUUAUCAUCAGGUCCAGCCGGACCUCAAGUGUUUGUUUUUGUUUUUCCAGUACUAGGUAUCUGAGGGUGAUCAAUGCUGAUCAAUCCUCUGACUGCCUAGAAAGGGGGACUGUGAGGGCUAAAGAAAGAAAGACAAUAGAGACUUGCAUAAUUUCCAAGUAGUGGGGAGGGGGUUGGAGGGCUGGGAGGUUGUGCCUCAGAGAGGGCAAGGACAAAGACACUCAGCUAGCCAUUAUUUGUUGGGUACACACAAUAAUUGGAGGGAGUAUCAGGUGACUUACGAUGGUGGCAGUCCUAUGUUGAUGAGGAUCUUAUGUUGAUAAGGCCAGUAAGGAGAGCAUUCUUACAAUAGUGGGUGGGACUAGAUAGGCUAAUAAAGAAGUUGUCCUUCCCCUAGGUGAAACCUUUUUUUUUUUUUUAAUUGCUACUCGGUUCUCAAGAACCGGGAUGACUUCCACUAUUGUAAUCUUACCCAUGAGCAUCACAGCAUCACGGGAGUCACAGCAUCAUGAGACCGUUGAGACCUCAACUUGUGACCAGAGGAAAAAUGGAGUUAUGUUUCUGUGAUAACCAACCUGACUCCAUUUGUGUAAAAUCCAGUGAUUUCCAGUGGUCGCCCCCCCCCAACCUUUGGAGUCCCCUCAGUUAAUGUGUAACAAACCAACCACAGCAUCCUGUGUGAGUCUGCAACUAUGUUAUCUUUACUACCUUGUAAACAGAAGACUCCUGCACCUAUGUGAUACUUUGUUUUAACUAAACUGUGUGAAACUGCCCCACCCCCACUGAUUUAGCAAAGUUCUGUUCCUGUGAAGUUCUGCUUGUGCUCCCCGACUCCUGAGCCCUCCCCAAAUAGAAGACCCUUUAAAAAGACACUGCAAACUGCCUUUCCUUUGUCCAGUUUUUGGAGGCCUGAACCCACUUUGGACCCUGGCUAUGAUAAUAAAGAAUUCCAUUUAAUUCAGAGUGUGGUGCAUCUCUAUAGUUCCAACUAGCCUGGCCCUAUAACAUUUCCAUGUGCCAUAGCGGGCUCAGCGUCAAGG
rnacentral:lncRNA from 1 species